rnacentral:piRNA from 1 species
UCCUAAACGAUAAAGCCUGGGGAUGCCUC